UACGUAGGGUGCGAGCGUUGUCCGGAAUUACUGGGCGUAAAGAGCUCGUAGGUGGUUUGUCGCGUUGUCCGUGAAAACUCACAACUCAAUUGUGGGCGUGCGGGCGAUACGGGCAGACUAGAGUACUGCAGGGGAGACUGGAAUUCCUGGUGUAGCGGUGGAAUGCGCAGAUACCAGGAGGAACACCGGUGGCGAAGGCGGGUCUCUGGGCAGUAACUGACGCUGAGGAGCGAAAGCGUGGGGAGCGAACAGG
rnacentral:rRNA from 1 species